rnacentral:rRNA from 1 species
UACGAAGGGGGCUAGCGUUGCUCGGAAUGACUGGGCGUAAAGGGCGCGUAGGCGGAUGGCACAGUCAGAUGUGAAAUUCCCGGGCUUAACCUGGGGGCUGCAUUUGAUACGUGUGAUCUAGAGUGAGGAAGAGGGUCGUCGAAUUCCCAGUGUAGAGGUGAAAUUCGUAGAUAUUGGGAAGAACACCGGUGGCGAAGGCGGCCAACUGGACCAUCACUGACGCUGAGGCGCGAAAGCGUGGGGAGCAAACAGG